rnacentral:rRNA from 1 species
UACGUAGGUGGCAAGCGUUGUCCGGAAUUAUUGGGCGUAAAGCGCGCGCAGGCGGUCCUUUAAGUCUGAUGUGAAAGCCCACGGCUCAACCGUGGAGGGUCAUUGGAAACUGGGGGACUUGAGUGGAGAAGAGGAAAGCGGAAUUCCACGUGUAGCGGUGAAAUGCGUAGAGAUGUGGAGGAACACCAGUGGCGAAGGCGGCUUUCUGGACAAAUACCGACGCUGAGGCACGAAAGCUAGGGGAGCAAACAGG